rnacentral:lncRNA from 1 species
AGAUCAAUAUAGGUUCCCACAUCUAGUUACUUUGUAGUAGUACUUUUCACUGCAGUACUGUUCCACAAGUUAAGAAUUGCCAUAACCUUCUGGAAGCGUUCCAGCCAAUCCAGUAGCAGCAGCUGGACGACACAGUGAAGUGCCUUGUUGACCAGGCUUGGACUUGGAGAAAAAUUUCUUCUAUAGGAGACAUGGGGAGUAGUAGUACAGUAGGCAGGGAACAAAAAGGAGACGAGCCCUGAGGAAGGCAGGAACCAGCCCGUAGUUAUAGAGCACCGGCCUGGAGGUUAGAACGAAAGCAAGAAAGCUGAGUAAACAUGGUUCGAUACAGAAGUCCAAAUACAUCAAAUCAUCCACUAUUUUCUUCUCCAGCUAGUCAUCCCUAUCAAGUUUAUUUGCAACCACAAAAUCAUAUACUAGUAGCCAAGACCCAAGAAGUGGAAGAGCUGCAGGGGAGGAUAGACCAGUAAAGGAGGAGCCGAUGAGCUAGUUAAGAGCAACACACGGCGUUGCAUGAGGAUGCCGCAACUAUUUUCGUGUGCUCGUGACCUCGAUCGAACUCGUCCCCAAAAUAAAGGUGAAUCCCCGCACACUAGUUGAUUUCAUCUAAAAGCACAUUAGCAAAGAAUAGCUCCUGUACACCUUGCAAACACAUGUGACAAAUCCCUAGCACCCUUUCUCAGCUCACCAUUUUAGCUAGGGAAGGGUCACAACAGCACAACAAAUAGAGAAGUAGAGUAUGAGAUCAAUUUUAGUAGUCAUACACUUAAAGGAGGCAGGAGAUAUAGGAAGGUCAGGACCUCACUUUCACCACUUGAAUGGAGUGUCAGCACUGUCGUCCGGAGCGGGGAAGGCACCACACGGCCAAGCCACAGACCUGGGCGCUGCACACGCCCGGCGGCACACAUCCCUGUGUGCCACAGCUACUAGCGCAUGGACAACCCUGAGCCAUGGGUCACCACCAAGCAUCGCCUGCUCCCCUGACGUGUAGAGCUAGGAUCCCAAAACAGAGGGCACGAAGUGGCCGGAAUAGAGGGGGAAUUGAGUGGGAUAUAUAUAUAUAUAUAGCACCAUGGUAGUAGAGAGGGGGUGAUUAGAGGUGAGAUUCUCAAUCCAUACUUCCAUACUAGUGGAUUUGGGCUGCGGGAGUAGCUGUAGCAUGAAGAACACAGGGAGUGAGGCCGUGAGGGAGGAAGCAGAGGGGAUAGAGGAUGGAGAAAGGUGAGUGCGUGUGCUGCUGCUGUUCUAGUGGUCUUUCACCGUUCAGGCAAUCAGGCAUUAGUACUAGUACAGAGAGCAUGCCUCUUCUUAGUUUAUUACUAGGUGCUGGAGCUCGUAUGAAGUAUAUAUGAACAUGGAUGUAUUAGGAAUAUUAGUUAGCUAAUUAUUUACUAAUUGCACACCAGAUCAAUACAUACCCUAUAAAUCACACCAUAAUAAUUAAGAUUAAGAGGUAAUGAAGUAUUGACUGUUGGAUGAGACAUAUGGCUACGU